rfam:Blautia sp. YL58, complete genome.
AGAAGACAACAGGGGAGCUGGAGAGAAGUCCGGCUGAGAGUAAAACCGUAAUCGUUUUUCACCCUUAACCUGAUCCGGGUAAUGCCGGCGUAGGGAGCAUAAGAGAGGCACCG